rnacentral:lncRNA from 1 species
GUGAAAUCCAAUAUGGCCGACGAAAAAAUCGUUUUUGCGACGGUAGGGACAACAAGUUUCGAUCGUCUUGUCGAAACUUUAACAAGCAAGCCUGUUUUGAACGUGCUCGAACGUUUAGGGUACACUAAACUAGUAGUUCAAAUAGGAAGAGGGAAGUUCCAACCAGAAUCUUUCGAGAAAAAGGGCUUUGCUUUGGAAUUUUAUCGUUACAAAGAGUCGCUGAGAGAUGACAUGAGUAAAGCAUCGUUAAUUAUUAGCCACGCAGGU